rnacentral:rRNA from 1 species
GACGUAGGGGGCGAGCGUUGUCCGGAGUUACUGGGCGUAAAGGGCCCGCAGGCGGGAGGGUGCGUUUGGUGUGACAGCUCGUGGCUCACUACGAGAGGAUACCAAAGACGGCCGUUCUUGAGGGCCAGAGAGGGACCUGGAAGUCCGGGUGGAGCGGUGAAAUGCGUAGAGAUCCGGAGGAACACCGAAAGCGAAGGCAGGGUCCUGGCUGGUACCUGACGCGUCGUGGGCGAAAGCUAGGGGAGCGAACGGG